UACGUAGGGCGCGAGCGUUAAUCGGAAUUAUUGGGCGUAAAGCGUGCGCAGGCGGCGCGUUAAGACAGGUGUGAAAGCCCCGAGCUUAACUUGGGAAUUGCGCUUGUGACUGGCGUGCUGGAGUGUGGCAGAGGGAGGUGGAAUUCCACGUGUAGCAGUGAAAUGCGUAGAGAUGUGGAGGAACACCGAUGGCGAAGGCAGCCUCCUGGGCCAGCACUGACGCUCAUGCACGAAAGCGUGGGGAGCAAACAGG
rnacentral:rRNA from 1 species